GCUCCACUAGAUAUUAUCAUCUCAUUCUUACUUUGGACAUAUUCAUGUGGAACACUUCAAUCCACCAAAACUCAUGGAAAUUAUUAGUUUAAAGAUAAUAACUCAUAUAACAAUAUGUAUACCCUAUUUAUUCACCGAAAGAUUGGUGGUUGAAAUUUUGAAAUAACGGUCGUCAACAGGUAUUUGGGGGUCCAUCACCUCAAAGGAAAACCAAAUCGAAGACACGAGAAUUGUUUCAUCAAAGUUCAGGUUCACCACCAUGAACUCUACAUCUCCAUUGAAUAGCUUUUAGGAUACGAGUCUCUCUUUCAACCCCCUCCUUUUAUUCGAGUCUCUUUCAGCCACGUUCGUCAAUUCCACUAGAAAAUCUUUUCCCUUGCAGAGGCAAGAUCGCAACCUACACAAACUUGCUCAUGACUCACCGCAAGGUUGGGAGCCUAUCGGCAAUGCUUAUCCAUCUAGGAGGCUUCACCUCCAAGAGUAACACAUGCUUCAUGAGUUGCUUGACGCCACCCACAAAUGCUCAAGGCUAUAUAGUGCUCUAUUGUGCUCACACACAAUCUCUCUCUCCCCCCUUCCCCUCCCCCUCUCUCCCUCCCU
rnacentral:lncRNA from 1 species